AAGAGCUGAUGCUUGAUGGAGGGCUAAAAAAUGCAGAUAACAAAGGAAACAAAGGAAGGCUGCAGAGGGAGUAUUCAGAAGACCUCCUAUUCACACACACAACUAUCAUCUAUGGAGAAUUCCUGUCUUCCCAGGAAUGCACCACCAGGUCAGGAUGCAGCAGGACAAAUUUAUAAAAAGUGUUCUCAUCUGAUAAAUUGAAUUUUGGCACAAAUGAAACAAGACCUCGACAGAUGUUCUAGAAUUAUUUUGAGUAUUUGGAGCUAUUCUCCAAACAGCCUUUACAACCCCUGGGGAAGACUGCAGACCGCAAUGCUCCUGGAAAGCCAAUCCAAUACAGAGCAGAAAAUGCAAUAAA